rnacentral:rRNA from 1 species
GAUGAACGCUAGCGGCAGGCUUAAUACAUGCAAGUCGAGGGGCAGCAUGAUUGUAGCAAUACAAUUGAUGGCGACCGGCAAACGGGUGCGGAACACGUACACAACCUUCCAACAAGUGGGGGAUAGCCCAGAGCAAUUUGGAUUAAUACCCCGUAACAUAGCGAUGUGGCAUCACAUUGCUAUUAUAGAUUUUUCGCUUGUUGAUGGGUGUGCGGCUGUUUAGAUAGUUGGCGGGGUAACGGCCCACCAAGUCUACGAUCAGUAGCUGAUGUGAGAGCAUGAUCAGCCACACGGGCACUGAGACACGGGCCCGACUCCUACGGGAGGCAGCAGUAAGGAAUAUUGGACAAUGGACGCAAGUCUGAUCCAGCCAUGCCGCGUGAAGGAUUAAGGUCCUCUGGAUUGUAAACUUCUUUUAUAAGGGACGAAAAAAGGCUUUUCUAAGUCGUCUGACGGUACCUUAUGAAUAAGCACCGGCUAACUCCGUGCCAGCAGCCGCCGUAAAAC